rnacentral:rRNA from 1 species
AGUAAUGUAUCGGAACGUGCCCAGUCGUGGGGGAUAACCGCUCGAAAGAGCAGCUAAUACCGCAUACGACCUGAGGGUGAAAGCGGGGGAUCGCAAGACCUCGCGCGAUUGGAGCGGCCGAUAUCAGAUUAGGUAGUUGGUGAGGUAAAGGCUCACCAAGCCGACGAUCUGUAGCUGGUCUGAGAGGACGACCAGCCACACUGGGACUGAGACACGGCCCAG